rfam:Habropoda laboriosa contig5014, whole genome shotgun sequence.
AAUAUGGUCCUUUUCAGGACCACCAAAUCUUUCAAAUGUACAUAUG